CCCGUCCUUCCGUAGAAAAGGCUUGCGUCAGUAUUUCCUGCUUUACCUCCUGUGUGAGGCUGCCUGGCCUUGUCCCUUCUUCCUCAGUUCACAGAAAGGACGGCAGAGACCAAGAGUUGGCAAACUUUUCCCAAGAGCUACAUCGUAAACAGCUUCCAAAGCAGGACACACCGUCAGCUCUGUAGUUGGCCAUUGCAGCACGAAAGCAGCUACGGACAAUGUGGAAACAAAUGGGCCUGGCCCAAUAAAACUUUAUUUAUGAACACUAAAAUUGGCAUUUCAUAUAAUUUUCAUAUGUUGCAAAAUAUUAUUAUCGUAUUGGCUUUUCCCCAAACAUGUAAAAAUGUAAAACCAUUCUUGGCUUGCAGGUUGCGUGAGAACAGGAGGCAGGCCAGCUCCGGUCUGAAGCUGUGGUUUGCCCACCCCUGGCACAGACCCAUGAGGCCUUCCUAGAGCCGCCGUGCCCGUCCUGGCUGAUGGGACCUCCUACCUCAGGGGCUCUGAGUCCAGCUGCCAGGAAGCUCAUCUUAGUGACCCCACAGCCCCUGCUCACCCACCUGGUGUCACUGGGGCUGAGAGUGAAACCUGCAGGCAUAACUGGCCCUGAUGGAUACACAGUAAGCGUAGAUGUGUUUGGGAUGAGGAAGAUGGGGGGUCCACAGCAAUGACCCCCCGUACUCCCUUCUGUCCUGGGAGGAGGUUCCUGGUGCUGGAAGACAGGAAGGCACAGGCUGGGAAUAUCCAGAACCUGGUGAAGGCCACCCAUCUGCAGAGGAGGGUCUGGGGCAGGUCCUUCGGAGGCUCCUCUUCCCUCUGUACCCUCCACCAUGUGCUGCUGCCAGGGUCCCCUCCCAAAGGGCAAAAGCCUUCCAGGUCAUAGACUCUGCUGCCCUGUCUAGAAAUUCCCACCUCAGCCUCUUCUCUUCCACCUUCCCUGCACCCCAGUCACACGAAUCCCACCAAAGCCUUGACCUCCGGGCCCCCAGCUUCCAUCCCACCUCUGGGUGCCUGGUUUCCCUCUGAUCCAUUUUUUGCUUCAGAAAGUCAGAGUUGUUUUCUGCUGCCUGCCACCCAGAAGGCUGAACAGCUGUAGGAAGCUCUCAGAAGUGGAGCACUAUUUACCUUUAACAUUCUGCCCUUGACAUUGGGGCCUAAGGCAUCUCCUGGGCAUGAUAAAGUUUUUUUGUUUUUUUUUUUUUGAGAUGGAGUCUUGUAAUCUCCUCUUUCUGGGCUCAAGCGAUUCUCCUGCCUCAGCCUCCUGAGUAGCUGGGACUACAGGCAUGCACCACCACGCCCAGCUAAUUUUUGUAUUUUUAGUAGAGACAGGAUUUCACCAAGUUGCCCAGGCUGGUCUCAAACUCCUGACCUCAGGUGAUCCGCCCGCCUCGGCCUCCCAAAGUGCUGGGAGUAGAGAUGUGAGCCACCGCACCCGGCCAGUGAUAAAGUUCUGAGGAGUUGACACACUUCCCCAAAUUCAGGGCCGCCUGCUGAGCUCUCCUGAUACUUCUACCCCUAAUGCAACAUUUAAGGCCAGGGCUGGGGUUUGGGAGACAGAGCUGGGCCCCAGCCUUCCUCUGUGAUGAGGGGUAAGCAGUCCGGGGAGGCCCAGGCAGUGCCCAGGCAGGCAGUUGGCCCCCUUCAAGGGUGGGCCUUGGGAGGAUGGGGGUGACGAGGCAACCUCGCUGCAGGCACAGCGCCUCCUGCCUUCUGUAAAAUCUUAAUUCUGCACCCGCCUCCCACUCUCAGAUGUGCUCCUCGACUUCGCCCUCGACUUCGCCCUCUUACCGUAGGCAGGAUGAUCCUUGGCGGGUCUGGGGCCAGCGGGGAUGGGGAGGCAGUGGGUAGGAUGCCCGUGGGGGGCAGCUCUGGGGGCAGGGCUGACCCGAGGGCUCCUCUGCUUGGCCCGCUCCAGGCCUGGGCCCGAGAGAGCUCGUCCAGGAGGUGUUGUUCCUGCAAGGCCGAUGCAGAGCUGCUGCACACGGGGAGGGGGAGCCCCAACGCCACAGAGGCACCCCCAGCGUCAGGCUCAGGCCAGCCUGGGCCAGGUACAGGCGCCUCUCCCGGCAGGAUGGCCAUGACUGGAAGACCCUUCCAGGGGUAUGUGCAUGAGGGUGGCCUCCUGAAAUUGACCCAAGCGUGUCAGCUAGUUUCCAGUUGUUUUCUUUUCCCAGCCCCAGGGUCUGUUCUCUCUUUCAAGCCAGUUCCAGGCCUACUUUUUUCUAGGUCUCCCCCUAGAAAAGCGGCCCCA
rnacentral:lncRNA from 1 species